GCAAGUCGAGCGGUAACAGAAAGUAGCUUGCUACUUUGCUGACGAGCGGCGGACGGGUGAGUAAUGCUUGGGAACAUGCCUUGAGGUGGGGGACAACAGUUGGAAACGACUGCUAAUACCGCAUAAUGUCUACGGACCAAAGGGGGCUUCGGCUCUCGCCUUUAGAUUGGCCCAAGUGGGAUUAGCUAGUUGGUGAGGUAAUGGCUCACCAAGGCGACGAUCCCUAGCUGGUUUGAGAGGAUGAUCAGCCACACUGGGACUGAGACACGGCCCAGACUCCUACGGGAGGCAGCAGUGGGGAAUAUUGCACAAUGGGCGCAAGCCUGAUGCAGCCAUGCCGCGUGUGUGAAGAAGGCCUUCGGGUUGUAAAGCACUUUCAGUCAGGAGGAAAGGUUAGUAGUUAAUACCUGCUAGCUGUGACGUUACUGACAGAAGAAGCACCGGCUAACUCCGUGCCAGCAGCCGCGGUAAUACGGAGGGUGCGAGCGUUAAUCGGAAUUACUGGGCGUAAAGCGUACGCAGGCGGUUUGUUAAGCGAGAUGUGAAAGCCCCGGGCUCAACCUGGGAACUGCAUUUCGAACUGGCAAACUAGAGUGUGAUAG
rnacentral:rRNA from 1 species